rnacentral:sRNA from 1 species
UAUAACUGAAUGCAGCUCUGAGGGGAUU